rnacentral:sRNA from 1 species
CAUUGAUACCAGUGGAUUAUCGGAUUUAUCCAAUCGAGAUAGUAAAAUUUAUAAUUUAACUAUCAAGAUUAAAUAAAUCCGAUAAUCCACUGGUACCAAU